UCUCAGUUGCGGCAUGCGAACUCUUAGUUGCAGCAUGUAAGAUCUGGUUCCCUGACCAGGGAUUGAAGCUGGGUCCCCUGCAUUGGGAGCUCAGAGUCUCAGCCACUGGAUCACCAAGGACCUUCCAGGAGGAGCAAUUUUAAAGAGGAGAAAGUGGUCGUCUCAGUUUGGGAUAGUAAAAAAGGUAUCCGUGGGGUCUUUGGGGGGAUAUGCUCAGGGAUUGUCAAAAUAGGAGUCAGUUACUUAGGAGAACAGUCCAAGCUGAGCAUAGAAAUACAGGUGGAGGGAAACUCGACUCAAUCCAGGUGAAGACUGAGGCCCUGAGAAGGGAAGUAGCAGCUCAGGGAGGCCUCAUUGAGCAUGAGAAGAGAGCAUGGCGAGAACCCAGCUUGCAUGGCUCUUCACCUCCCCCAGCAUGCCCAGAGUGCCAGAUGCCAACACUGGUUGUGCUGGGUCUUCGUUGGUGCAAGCAGGUUUUCUCUAGUCGUGGUCAGCAGGGGCUACCCUGUAGUUGUGAUGCGUGGGCUUCUCACUGCAGCGGCUUCUCUUGUUGCAGAGCACAGGUUCUAGGCCCGUGGGCUCAGUAGUUGAGGUCUGAUGUUCCAUGUGCAGUAGGAGGACAUGAGUUGGUGCACGGGGACUCAGUGCCAUGAACUAAAAAGCCACUGAACAGUUCCCUAGUGACUGGAGUUAAUCAGAUUUCACCAAAUGCCUAACCACGUUGUGGAAGAGAGUCUACAUGUGGGAGACACUGCUCGCUGCAUCUCCAUUUAAUCUCUUUCUCCUUUGAAGCAACGUAUUUCCCACAGGGUAAGUUUCUAAAACUCAGACCAUUUAAUUUGGGGGAACAAUUUUUUAUAAAGGGAAAAGUUAACUUUGUGUGUUUUCUUCCAGAUCCCCUGACUUUCUGAGAUUAUGUAUUUUGCUGUUGGGGAGCUUUUUUUCCUCCUCAGUUCUACAAUAAACUCUUUGUUGUUUAACAUUCUAUUAACCACAACCCUCUAGUAACCGGCACAUCUGUAAGUCUCCAGUAUAAUAAUUGUUGUUCAUAACCAUGACCCUGGGGCUCUGCGUGGUCUCAGAUGCUUCCAAGUCAUCAAAGGGAAUGCACUAAAAUGAUUUUGCAUUCCCAGAGCACACAUCAACCAACCACAGAGGGAAGGAGUCCAGAUAAGUGUUAGGUAGAAGAAGAAAUAACGUGAGGAUUUCAAAUUUGCCACAGGUAAUUCACUGUAUGGAUAAUGAAAUCUACACUACAUCUGUUACAGCUUGCCCCUACUCAAAG
ensembl:lncRNA